UUGUCGGGUAAGUUCCGACCCGCACGAAAGGCGUAACGAUUUGGGCACUGUCUCAACGAGAGACUCGGUGAAAUUUUAGUACCUGUGAAGAUGCAGGUUACCCGCGACAGGACGGAAAGACCCCAUGGAGCUUUACUGUAGUUUGAUAUUGAGUGUCUGUACCGCAUGUACAGGAUAGGUAGGAGCUGUAGAGAUCGGGACGCCAGUUUCGAUGGAGGCAAUGGUGGGAUACUACCCUUGCGUUAUGGCCACUCUAACCCGCAGCCCUUAUCGGGCUGGGAGACAGUGUCAGAUGGGCAGUUUGACUGGGGCGGUCGCCUCCUAAAAGGUAACGGAGGCGCCCAAAGGUUCCCUCAGAAUGGUUGGAAAUCAUUCGAAGAGUGUAAAGGCAGAAGGGAGCUUGACUGCGAGAGCUACAACUCGAGCAGGGACGAAAGUCGGGCUUAGUGAUCCGGUGGUUCCGCAUGGAAGGGCCAUCGCUC
rnacentral:rRNA from 1 species